rnacentral:rRNA from 1 species
AUCUACGGCCAUGCUACCAUGAACAAGCCCGAUCUCGUCUGACCUCAGAAGCUAAGCAGGGUCGGGCCUGGUUAGUACUUGAAUAGGAGACCACCUAGGAAGACCAGAUGCUGUAGGCA